GCAGUCAUGGCCGAGUGGUUAAGGCAAUGGACUAGAAAUCCAUUGGGGUCUCCCCGCACAGGUUUGAACGCUGUCGACUGGG
rnacentral:tRNA from 1 species